CAGCAGAGAGAAAACAAGAGAAAACAGUGAGUGUGAUUGGCUCUUUCUUCAGUUCCUCAAGUGUGAAAUAUAGACAUGAUGUUCUCAGAGAGGAGGGACUCAGAGUUCACAGAUCUGACAUGAUCUAAUCGUGUCUGAAAGAGACUGUGGAUGAAACGAUUCAGUCUGACUCUUCUCAGAGUGAACACUUGAACAAUGAAUCUUCAUUCACUUAUUCUGCUCUGUGUCUCAGCAGCUGCUGUCUUUGGAAAUACCAUCAAACCAGACACAACAGAUGUUGGUGCUGAUGAGGGACAAAAUGUUAAGUUGUCCUGUAGUUAUUCCUCCACUGGAGGUUCAGAUGAUCUCUUCUGGUACCGUCAGUAUGGAAGAUCAAAACCUGAAUUUCUUGUUUCCACCUACAGUACUGCAACAGAUGCUAAAGAAUCUAAAGUAGAUCCAAGACUUUCUGUUAAAGUUGAAAAAAAGGAACAAAUCCACAUGGAUCUGAUCAUCUCCUCUGCUGCAGUAUCAGACUCUGCUCUGUAUUACUGUGCUCUGAGGCCCACAGUCACAGGAAACACUGUAACUCUGUACAAAAACCCUUCUGUAUACUCUUAGAAAAAAAGGUUCUUUGGGGUUCUAUAUAGAACCUUUUAGGGUUUCCAUAUAUGUAGCGCCUGAUAGAACCUUUUUUGGUUCUAUAUAGAACCUUUUCUUCUAAGAGUGUAUUUAAUCCAAUGAGAACAAGCAACAGACACAGAGACAAAGACUACAAGAGAAUCUGUAAACUGCAGAUGUAAGUAAUAAGUAGAGCAAUAACUGAAUGAAAAUAAAUAAAUUGAUUACAUUAAAUCCAUACAAAAGUAGUCUAUAGAUUAAGUUUCAAUCCAUUUUCACAUGUAACAGAUCGUGCAGAUACAAUGUGCCACAAGGUGUCAGUGUUCUCAGACAUUCACUGGGAACUGCAGCAAUGAACAACAGAAUUCAUAUUUCUAUUACAUUUUAAUAUUAUAAGAAAAGAGACUGAAAACACAGUUUUUGUGUAUUUUCCUUUCAUAUAUGUUAUGGUGUGUGGGCAUGUUUUGUUUUGUUUUUGUUUUCUUUUGGUUGUCUUGUAGGAGGCAGGAGAGAUGAGAAACACCUGAUCUAAAUUAGGAGGUGAAAUAUAAGUGAGACAUUAGACAUCAUCUCCAGCUGCUCAGAGUUUCCUCGACCAAACAGGAUCUGUCGUCUGUCAUCAUUUUUGGACUUUUCAAAUGGCAGCCUUUUCAAAAUCAGCCCAGUGAUACAAAACAUGAAACAAGUCUUAAAAAAACUAAAGGACACUUUUACUUUUGAAGCUCUUGUGAAAUUAAAAUUGUGUGAUUAAAAAAAAGUGAGAUAAAACUGCAAACUUCUAUGUGAGUUUGGGGAAGAAGUGAAUAAAAGGGCAAACAAAGCUUUUCAAAAAGGUACAAUGUCAAGAAACAGAAUGAUUGUAGGGUGAAUUGAUUGGGACACUUUUUCCAAGCCAUUUCAAUGGCAAAAAGUGUCCCAACCUGAAUUCGCCCUAAUUAUAAGUGUUCUUCAAGCUGCUUUAUGGCUAACAUGUUUCACAUCAUGUGACUUUAUUUCAAUUGUGUAACACUUGUCAGAAACCAAAAGAGGGCGAUAUCUCUCAGUAUUACACUUAACAGAGAAGUUUCUUUUAGGUUUUCACAAACUCCUCCUCAGAGUCUUUAUGAUAUUUAUGAAAGCAAAACUCUCAUUGACAGAUUGAUUUUGACUUCAG